GCACCUGCCUAAACCUUCCUCUUCUCGUGCGUCCUUGCUUUCGAAAGGAAAGCCAGAGGUGCGUGCAGGUCCACUUCCGCUCUGGCGCCAGAACCCGUCGACACAGGCGCGCACACCAUAGUUUCUCCCUCCUCCUUCUCGCUCUGCUCUAAUUUUUUUUUGCCGUUCUGCUGUAUUCUGUGUAAUUCCGCAGGGUGGAAGCCAAGGGGGAGGGAAGAGAGCUGCACGAAAUCGUGAGCGUGCGUGCGUGCGCGUGUGCGCGGAGCAAGGGGAGGGAGGGGGGAGAUAUAAUAAAAAGGACGCAUCCCGCGGUGCUCGCCUCCUCGCCUCUCUACGCCUUUUCCGUCGUUCCUCGUUGUCGGCUUCGCGUUGUCGGCUCCUCUGUUUCUGCCCGGUGCUAUCGCACCCGCAAGGGCCGGCGCACACCACGACGGACGCGCGACAAGUGAGUGACAGGACAUGGUAGCGGCGACAGCAGCACCACGACGGCCAACAAAACCCACACAAGGCAAUGCAUUUAGAGAUUUACGUCAGGAGAAAGGCACUGCUCACAUCGCACCCUCGUUCUCCACCUCUCCACCCCACGCAUCUAUUCAGUGACACAUACGCACGACGCGCCGUCUUCUUUUACAGUUCUCUGUGUGCGCGUAUGCGUGCGUAGCGAACAGCGCCCCCUCCCCUCCUCCAAACAAUAACAGCAGCAGCAGCACCGACGAACGGGUACGACAGAUGGAGGAAAGCCAACGGUAAACAACAGUAAUACUGGAGAAAAAACAUCGGCGGCCCACGAACGGGAAAGGAGGAGGAAGUGGAGGGAGGAGGGAUGCAGCAGGCAGCAGCGCCUCAUCUUUCCGCUCUCCGCUCUUUUUCUUGAUGGCUUGCUUGCUUGCUUGAGCCUUCGUAGACGUCGCCAUCAUGAAGGCGCAUCCAAACCAGAUUGGCUGCUACCUCCUCACCGAGGUGAGUCACGAGGAUGGCUUCGUGAUAUCGGAGGGCCACGAGGUCUAAAAUCCCAACCGGCACCUCCGUGCCAAGGCCUUCCUGAAGGACCGUGUCGCGCCGGAGAACAUUAGCGCGCGUAUUGGCAUUGAGGAGAGUGUGCUUGGCCGCAGCGUAGCGUAUCUGCGAGCUCUCUGUCGCGCCCUUGAGCAAGAGGAGGGCAAAAGCGUGCUCGUCAGCAACGACAGCUUAGCCGAGUUGGAGAGCUCGACCCCUUUAGCCAGUCCCGUCUUGCAUACUUCCGCCUUCCCAGCGGUGGCCAUCAUCGACGCCGAUGUGCCGCUUGGGUUCCGCUGCCCCCGACACGUGCUGCUCAUACACGAUAGGAUGCGAAGUGCCUCGAAAAUAUGCCUGAUACGGGAUUUUAUGCCCACCAGCGUUCAAAACAUCCUGGAACACGGGCGCUUACCCGAGGCAGGCGCCUUCUUUUAUUUCUACCAGCUUGCCAUGGCUGUGCAUUUCUCGCACCUGCAUCACGUCGUGCACCGCAGUAUUAGCACUGACCACACGUACCUAUCCAAGCGGGGCAUGCAGGUACACUUGGGAGGAAUGGGCGGGUGUGUUCUGGAGAAGCAGCGCAGCAGCGGCGGUCGUGUGACUCUCGAGCCCCAGCGGCAGCAGCAACACCUCUCCGCCCCUCGGCAGCGACACACGCGCUGCUGCCCCCCCUCCCCCCCUCCCCGCUGGGAUCGUACGGCAUCUGCAGCAAUUGCCACGGCGAUGCUUCGAUCGUGGCCCAGGCGCCAGAUGCGGCCAUGAACUCGAGCUCCGCGGCCACGACCGGGCACCCAACAUCGGUUGGCGGCGGGGCCCCGCCGCUGAACAUGCUCUUCACCACGUGUCGCCACUGCGGCGUGUACCAGAGCCGCCUACAGGUACUGCAGACCGCUACGGGCACGCCGGGUUACCUGGCGCCGGAAACACUAGCAUAAAAGCUGCCGAACUCGCUCAUGUGCACCGGCUCUCGGUCCCCGGUGACGCCAGCCUCGCCACACUCACAGCCUGGGCGCUUAACAGACAGUCAGGCACGCGACAUCUGGGCUUGCGGUGUGGUGCUGUACUACAAGCUCAUUGCAUCACUGCCCUUCGAUCCGCUAGUGCAGGGUGGGACGGUGCUGCCGUCGAACUUGACGCGCACGCCGCAGCAGGUGUACGACGUGCGCUGCCGUAUUGUAGCGAUGGAAUACCAGAUCCCGGCGCACUUGUCCAUCAUCUGCCGACAGCUGAUCGAGUGGACCCUGCAGAAGGAUCCGCAACGGCGGCCCAGCGCGCUUGAGAUUCUUCGGCAUCCGGCACUGGCAAGGGUGCGCGCCUCGGUGCUGGGGAUAUGACCGCUGCCACGUGUGGGCGACUCGGUUGCCUGCACGUGGGUGUGGGUGUAUGCCCGUGUUACCUCGCUACAGAGAAUCAUGAUGGGCGCAAGCAAAAGCAUCAGAGCGAUAGAGGGCGAGUGAAUAAGAGUGAGAGAAGGAGCCGCCCGCGCGUCUGUGGCUGUGUCUGUGCGGUGCUUCCUGCUGAGCGCUUGACCGCCGCCUCAUCGCUGGGGACUCGACCAAUGGGCUGGAUGGGGUGCGACGAGUGAGACGGCGGCGGCAAAGAGGGAUGAGGGAGACGAGAGGCAACGACAAGCCAAGCGAGUCGCUCCCUCUCUUGUGUGCCUGCUCUCCCUCUUCCCCCCCCCCCCCCCCCCCCCCGCACACCCCACACCCCACUCAGCACUCGUUACGGUAUAACUCGUCUUUUACAGAAAUGUGCGUAUACGCGUGUGUGUGUCCUUUUCGCGUUUUCAACUCUCCUCUCUCUCUCCCCGCUGGUGGCGAGCGUCUUGUUGUGUUCUAAUGUGUCGUAACGGUGUGCGGGCGUUCCGCUUACCCUUCCGUCUUCCCACUCCCGCUGUUUUUUUUUUUUUGCUUGUUCCCUCUCCACAUAUCCUUAUAUCCAUAUAUAUAUAUAUAUGUAUACAUAUUAUGUACGUGUGGGCAUGUAUUUAUGUCUUCCGCUUCACGAGGACAAACCUCAACGCUUCACGUUCUUUCUCCCCCUCUUCCCUCCUUCUCCCCUGUGUGAUCCUCCUUGCUCCCAUGUGUCCUCUCCUCUAACCUGCUCCCCCGCCUUCCUGCCCUCUUCUUCGCACCUCGCCGUUUCUGUUUUGAGUGUGCUGUCGUAUGCCACUCCCGUCACCUAACCCCUCGACUCCACCCACCCCUGCCGCAUGCUUAUUAUUAUUCUUGCUCUUCAUUUCGGUGGUCCAUACCCGCAUGCACUUCCGCCGCCGCCCAUCUCCUCUGCUCCCUCGUUUUUUUCCCUCUCGGCGACUCGGCGCAUGCGCUGGAUAUUGUCUUCCUUCGGUGUCCUAGCACCCUUUUCAUUGCUAUCUUCCCACGUAUAUACCCAUACCUAGACAUAUGCGUGUAUGCCCACAUAUAUAUGUUAUAUACGUAUAUAUAUAUAUAUACGUAAGUGCUGAAAUAUAUGGUUUUGCUGCUCACUCGCACCACACCUCUGCUUUGCUUACGCCCCCCUGCCCCUGGCCCUGCCCCUGCCUCCUCCCCUCACCUCUCCGCUUCCCCCCAAAAAAAAACAUAAAACAUAAAACAAAAGGAAAACAAGAAGCGGAAAUCUGCGUCGCGUGCAUCUCUCUUUUCCCGCCCCUCUUUUCUGCAUCCUCUGUCGUCGUCUUCGCAUGUGUAUAGACACACACACACAUAUAUAUAGUACACAUGCAUAUAUGUAUAUAUGUAUAUAUGUAUAUAUGUAUAUAUGUAUAUAUGUAUAUAUGUAUAUAUGUAUAUAUAUGUAUGUAUAUAUGUAUGUAUGUAUGUAGUAUAUAUGUAUAUGCAUACGCAUCGUUGCAUCUUUACAUACACACGUGCAUAGAUGUUUGGGCGUGCGAUGAUGCAUCCGCGUUCUUCACGCGGGCCGUCCCGCGCUGCUGCCAUUUGUGUCAAGGCGUGACUGCUGCAGCACUCCUGAUGGUUCCUCCCUCCUCACCUUCGCCCUUGUGCGUGCUUUUGCGAGAGAGUCUCAUCUACUCUGCGAACGUCUCAAUGAGCCAGAGACACACACCUAUUUCUUCUAUCUGCUCAUUUUCCUUCUCCGGCGCCGCUACUUCCAUCGCUGUUACUUUCUCCCUGGUGCACCCUCCCCACCUUCCCUCCCUCCUUCCUCCCUCGACGACCCAUCAUGACAGUGCCUUCUCCCUUUCUUCGCUGACCAAAGCAGCUGAAACCCUUUUCCCUUCCCUUCCCUUCCCUCUCUCUCACACUGUAUUCCCCUCCGCAGCUGCUCUUCUGCACGCUAAGAAGGGUGUUUACGUCCAUCGUCUAUAUCAUGUGUGUCGCAUGUUCGUUCUUCCCGAACCUGGGGGUCUAUGCUCAUAUGUGUGUGUGCGUGCGUGCGCAGCUGUGCUGCCUCUUCAUUGUUUCCUCGAACAUUUUUCCCGUUUUCUUUUCGUGUUGGUGCUCGUCCUUCGCGCGUGAGGCGCGUUCUUUCUUCUGCGUGAGCGCGUCUUCCUCGCUCUUGUCUGCACCCUCCCUCCUCCUUCCUCCACCGGCACACCCACACACUCCUCUCCCUCUUUUCCUCCCUCUGUUCCUGCCGCACCUCGUCCGCCCCUGGUAAACUCUGGUUCAGCCCCAUUACACGACCCUCACACGCGCGCGCGUACACACGUCUUCCUUUUUUUUGGAAUUUGUGUGCGCAUGUGUGCGUGUCUGCGUGCCGUUGCUUUCCCAUGCUUGGCGUGCGCAUGUACGCGUACCACAGGUGUAGGCCUCCGAGUCUUGCUUUUCGUGUGCGUGUGUGGACCCGCUUGUGUGUGGACCCGCUUGUGUGUGUGGAUGCCUCCAUACACCGGCGGCGGCAGCAGCAGCAACAGCAGCGGGGGCGAGGUGAGGGCGGGCACCGGCCGGACCAUGCAGCAGCAGUAGCAGCAGCAGUAAUAGAUGGUCUUCAGUGGACGCACAUGCGCGUUGCGUGCCAAGUGUAACUCCAGUCAGAAAAGAGAGCGAGAGACGAGGCGAGCGACAA
rnacentral:misc_RNA from 1 species